rnacentral:misc_RNA from 1 species
UGUUUUUCUCCCUCCCACAGAUAACCAUGGGAUUCACAGCAGCGUCGACAAAUGAACUAAUUUGCACUGGUGAGGGUAGGUUCCUUUACCCUGGCUCGUGUGGGACAUACAUGGACUGUACUCCAAGUGGAGAUGGUGGCUAUACCCUUGUGAAGGAUAACUGCAGAGGCUACACAUUUGAUGCUGCUAGAAAAACCUGUAUUGCUAAGCCAUGUGAAUCCCGGCUUAAACGCAGUGUUACUACUAUUAAUCAUCAGUAUUCGCAUUUGUGUGAAGGACAGCCUGACAAAUUUAUCUGCGGCAGUUGCAGAACCCUGGUCAUGUGCGUGAAAGGGCAAGCCUUCAUUCGCCACUGUAUCCCGAAUAAUUUCUGCUCAACCAGAAAAAAAUUUGGAGGGGGAGUUUGCUACCCAGAAGAACCUGUAGAAUGCACUUGUACAAAAGCUAAUGAUUUCAUGGUAGACCACUAUGAUCCCCAGAGGUUCUUCUCUUGCGAGGAUAUUGGGUCCAUACCAGAAAGUUACAAAUGCCCAGAUGGAAUGGAAUUCGAUGAAAGUACAGCACAAUGCCGCAACAUAGGCGGUCUACCACCAUGCUCGGUCUCAGGGCAGUUUGCUAACCCCAGCAACUGUAGUGAAUACUACUCUUGCAUUGCCCUUAAAUAUGGAUGGCUUCAGAAAGCCUUCCAAUGUUCCAAAGGCCUGAUGUACAAUAAGAAGACUCAAAAAUGUGAAGAUCCAUGUAAGUACCAGUUCGUGUGUACGCAAGAAGGACGUUACCCAGACUAUCUUAACAAGUGUAAUUACUAUGAGUGCAUCAUGUUGGGAGGCAAUAUGAGACAAGAGCGUUAUCAAUGCCCUAAGGGUUACAAGUGGAGUGAAGUCUCCCCAGGUAUUGGAAAGUGUGUUGAAGACGAUGGUGAGACGGAUGAGUAUCCCUUCAGUCACUGCAAAUUGGAUACAUUGUGCUCUUUGUAAGUGAAAUGCGAUGGUUGCCAAUCGCUCCCCUCUAAGUAUUUGCUUGAGAGACCUGAGGUGAUACAUUGGCGUUUCCUGUCCUUGCCUGAAACAUUAGUGAUGUAUCGAAGUUUAUUUGCAGGAAACAAAUGUGAUGAAAUCAAGUGGCUGCAUGGAGGAAGCUCUCCAUCAAAGUGCAAACUACAAGGUCCCCGCCUUUUGUCAAAUCUUUUUAAGUUAACUUUUAAUAAAUUUUAACCUUAA